rnacentral:rRNA from 1 species
GACAGAGGGUGCAAACGUUGCUCGGAAUCACUGGGCGUAAAGCGCACGUAGGCGGCUGGGUAAGUCUCACUGUGAAAGCCCGGGGCUCAACCCCGGGAGGCCAGGGGAUACUGCUCGGCUAGAGACAGGCAGAGGCUGGUGGAAUUCCGGGUGUAGCGGUGGAAUGCGUAGAGAUCCGGAGGAACACCUGAGGCGAAGGCGGCCAGCUGGGCCUGAUCUGACGCUGAGGUGCGAAAGCGUGGGGAGCGAACGAGGA